GCCUCUGUAGCGGAGUGGUUAAUGCGUUUGUCUUGUACCUUAAGGACAACAACAAAAGAUCGUGGGUUCGAAUCCCACCUGAGGCC
rfam:Trichosporon asahii var. asahii CBS 8904 unplaced genomic scaffold scaffold00105, whole genome shotgun sequence.